GAUGAACGCUGGCGGCGUGCUUAACACAUGCAAGUCGAACGAAACACCUUAUUUGAUUUUCUUCGGAACUGAAGAUUUGGUGAAUGAGUGGCGGACGGGUGAGUAACGCGUGGGUAACCUGGCCUGAACAGGGGGAUAAUAGUCAGAAAUGACUGCUAAUACAGCAUAAGAACACAGCACUGUACGGUGCAGGGGCAAAAACUCCGGUGGUACAGGAUGGAGCCGCGUCGGGUGAGCUGGUCGGAGAGGGAACGUGGCACCAAGGGGACAAUCAGUAGUCGGCAAGAGAGAGUGGGCCGCCACACUGGGACUGGGACACGGCGCGAACUCCUGCGGGAGGGAGCAGUGGGUAAUAUUGCAAUAUGGGGGAAACGCUGAUGCAGCGACGCCGCGUGAGUGAAGAAGUAGUUAAGUAAGUGAAGCACUUUCAGCAGGGAAGAUAAUGACGGUACCUAACUAAUAAGCCCCGGCUAACUACGUG
rnacentral:rRNA from 1 species